UACGGAGGGAGCUAGCGUUGUUCGGAAUUACUGGGCGUAAAGCGCGCGUAGGCGGUCGUAUAAGUCGAAUGUGAAAGCCCCCGGCUCAACUGGGGAGGGUCAUUCGAUACUGUUCGACUCGAAGGCAGGAGAGGGAAGUGGAAUUCCGGGUGUAGUGGUGAAAUGCGUAGAUAUCCGGAGGAACACCAGUGGCGAAGGCGACUUUCUGGCCUGUUCUUGACGCUGAGGCGCGAAAGCUAGGGGAGCAAACGGG
rnacentral:rRNA from 1 species